AAACUAACAGAUUUACUUCGGUAAUGACGUUAGGAAAGCGAGCGGCGGAUGGGUGAGUAACACGUGGGGAACCUGCCCCAUAGUCUGGGAUACCACUUGGAAACAGGUGCUAAUACCGGAUAAGAAAGCAGAUCGCAUGAUCAGCUUUUAAAAGGCGGCGUAAGCUGUCGCUAUGGGAUGGCCCCGCGGUGCAUUAGCUAGUUGGCAAGGUAAAGGCUUACCAAGGCGAUGAUGCAUAGCCGAGUUGAGAGACUGAUCGGCCACAUUGGGACUGAGACACGGCCCAAACUCCUACGGGAGGCAGCAGUAGGGAAUCUUCCACAAUGGACGCAAGUCUGAUGGAGCAACGCCGCGUGAGUGAAGAAGGUUUUCGGAUCGUAAAGCUCUGUUGUUGGUGAAGAAGGAUAGAGGUAGUAACUGGCCUUUAUUUGACGGUAAUCAACCAGAAAGUCACGGCUAACUACGUGCCAGCAGCCGCGGUAAUACGUAGGUGGCAAGCGUUGUCCGGAUUUAUUGGGCGUAAAGCGAGCGCAGGCGGAAGAAUAAGUCUGAUGUGAAAGCCCUCGGCUUAACCGAGGAACUGCAUCGGAAACUGUUUUUCUUGAGUGCAGAAGAGGAGAGUGGAACUCCAUGUGUAGCGGUGGAAUGCGUAGAUAUAUGGAAGAACACCAGUGGCGAAGGCGGCUCUCUGGUCUGCAACUGACGCUGAGGCUCGAAAGCAUGGGUAGUGAACAGGAUUAGAUACCCUGGUAGUCCAUGCCGUAAACGAUGAGUGCUAAGUGUUGGGAGGUUUCCGCCUCUCAGUGCUGCAGCUAACGCAUUAAGCACUCCGCCUGGGGAGUACGACCGCAAGGUUGAAACUCAAAGGAAUUGACGGGGGCCCGCACAAGCGGUGGAGCAUGUGGUUUAAUUCGAAGCAACGCGAAGAACCUUACCAGGUCUUGACAUCUAGUGCCAUUUGUAGAGAUA
rnacentral:rRNA from 1 species